rnacentral:lncRNA from 1 species
UUUUGCAGAUACUGAAGCUUUGCAUCGUUUACAGUGAUAUGAUGCCUGUGAUUCCUGACAAAAUGAGCUAUCUUUCGGCUCUUAGUGCUUGUGAUAUUUCAUUUCUUUCCACUAUAUGUGACACAGUGACAGCAACAAAGGGAAGAAACAAACUGUUUGGGCCAACGUUCUUCUAAUGCAGAACGAUGAUGUACAUCUUUGAAUUUUUGAACUACCUUUGUGUUUGUAAUUAUGGUGGCAUUGUUUUUAAAGUG